AUGUCAUCAGGGUAUUUUUUGAGCAUCUCUUUAAACCUCUCCCAAGCUUCAUAUAAGCAUCCCUUCUUGCUGUCUGAAGGUCUGAACAUUGGUUCUGAACUU